UGGGGAAUAUUGGACAAUGGGCGAAAGCCUGAUCCAGCAAUGCCGCGUGAGUGAUGAAGGCCUUAGGGUUGUAAAGCUCUUUUACCCGGGAUGAUAAUGACAGUACCGGGAGAAUAAGCCCCGGCUAACUCCGUGCCAGCAGCCGCGGUAAUACGGAGGGGGCUAGCGUUGUUCGGAAUUACUGGGCGUAAAGCGCACGUAGGCGGCUUUGUAAGUUAGAGGUGAAAGCCCGGAGCUCAACUCCGGAACUGCCUUUAAGACUGCAUCGCUUGAACGUCGGAGAGGUAAGUGGAAUUCCGAGUGUAGAGGUGAAAUUCGUAGAUAUUCGGAAGAACACCAGUGGCGAAGGCGACUUACUGGACGACUGUUGACGCUGAGGUGCGAAAGCGUGGGGAGCAAACGGGAUUAGAUACCCUGGUAGUCCACGCCGUAAACGAUGAUGACUAGCUGUCGGGGCUCAUGGAGUCUCGGUGGCGCAGCUAACGCGUUAAGUCAUCCGCCU
rnacentral:rRNA from 1 species